UACGAAGGGGGCUAGCGUUGCUCGGAAUCACUGGGCGUAAAGCGCACGUAGGCGGCUUCUUAAGUCAGGGGUGAAAUCCUGGAGCUCAACUCCAGAACUGCCUUUGAUACUGAGGAGCUUGAGUCCGGGAGAGGUGAGUGGAACUGCGAGUGUAGAGGUGAAAUUCGUAGAUAUCGGGAGGAACACCAGUGGCGAAGGCGGCGAUCUGGGCAGACACUGACGCUGAGGUGCGAAAGCGUGGGGAGCAAACAGG
rnacentral:rRNA from 1 species